UACUUGGUCACAUUACGCUUAUUGGCGAUUCUUUCCUAAGGUUGCUCAUACCUUAGCCAUCUAUGCCACUCGACUCGGUCUUAAGUCAAUCCUCUGCGGAUAGUCCGCACACUGGCUACUCAACAGCCCAUCGCACUCGAUGACUCAGCCACCCGGCGGCGAAAUCGUCGCACACGCUCAGCUCUGGCUUAAGUCACCCUGCGGCAUGAUCCACAAACUGGCUCAACCAUCCGGCGGCGAAAUCGUCGCACACGCCACGACAAUGGUUCUUUAGCCCCGGGCGGCGAAAUCGUCGCACACACCCCGCACCACUCUUGGUGUUCCACAAGUCCUGGGAUUCCGGAAUCCAUUUCACAGUACUCAAGGGUUGGUCUUAACCCUGUGGAAUUGACCUAUCUAGGUCCAAGCCUUUACUCAACCUAAGUUAAUACUUUAGGUUCGUUGCUUUCAUACUCUUAGCCUAGGUUUAUUAACACUAGGUCCAUUAUUCUCGUCUACCUAGAUUCACUUGACUCUAGGUUCUUACCUUUACCUCACAACCUAUGUUCUCUAACAUUAGGAUUAAUGCCAUUCUCGUUAACCUAUGUUCAUUAACACUAGGUUCAUUAUCAUUCUUGUUCAACCUAGGUUCACGACUCUAGGUCCAAUGCCACUCG
rnacentral:lncRNA from 1 species